rnacentral:rRNA from 1 species
UACGAAGGGAGCUAGCGUUGUUCGGAAUCACUGGGCGUAAAGCGCACGUAGGCGGAUGUGUCAGUCAGGGGUGAAAUCCCGGAGCUCAACUUCGGAACUGCCCUUGAUACAGCACGUCUUGAGUCCGGAAGAGGUGGGUGGAAUUCCUAGUGUAGAGGUGAAAUUCGUAGAUAUUAGGAAGAACACCGGUGGCGAAGGCGGCAUCCUGGACCAACACUGACGCUGAGUGAGCGAAAGCCAGGGGAGCAAACGGG